CACACACACACACACACACACACACACAUACACACAUGCAUACACACACUUAUACACAUAUAUGUACACAUGCAUAUACACAAUACACCCUGGGCCAUUUAAUUUACACAGGCUAUGCCUUACCCAUUCUACUCUUUGAAUUCUCUCAUGGGAUCCUUAAACCAAAAGUAGGGUUUGUAAAGUAGAAAGUAGAUUCAUAUACCCCAAUAAAAAAGAGAAGGACUUUGAUUCAUGGGGUAAAAGAAAUCACUCUAUUUUACCAACACCUUAGAAUUGUUAGAAAUAUGUAUGAAGUAUUCUGUCUGCAUGUAAGUAUACAUGCCAGAAAGGGGUGCCAAAUUUCAUUACAGAUGAUUGUGAGCCACUGUGUGGUUGCUGGGAAUUGAACUCAGGACCUCUGAAAGCAUUCAGUGCUCUUAACCUCUGAGCCAUUCCUCCAGCCCCUAAUUGUUAGAAAAAUGGACAGGCCUGUACACCUGCUCCAAUCUCUGAACUAGGGUGUUUUUGUUUGUUUUUUUAAAACUUUUUUUUGUUGUUGUUGCUGUAUUGAGGCUCACACCCAGGUCUUUGGGUAUAAUAGACAAGUGCUUUACCACUGAGUAACAUCCCUAGACCGUAUUAGGACUCUUCAAGUAAAUUUCUAUGAACCUCCCUGGUUAACUGACAUCACAGACAUGCUGGUUGGCAAGGUGAGACAAGAAAGGUGUAAGGAAAAAGGGUGAGCUAAAGAAAGACACCCUGAGCAGACCCAGAGAAACACACUUUGGCCCUGCAACAAGAACCAAAGAAAUGCACCCUGACCCUGAAAUCAGUGCCAAAGAAACACAUCCUUUCCGAGCUCCCUUCUUUGGGAUUCUAGCAUCUACAGAUUUUGGUACCAGAAGUGGUUCUUGAACAACAGAAGUAUAAAGAUGAAUCUUUUAAAUAUCUGGAAUAGGCUUUUCAGUUUGCCAGUAUCUACAGCUACUGAAGCCUCUCCAGAUACUCCCUCUCCUGGGAGCACCGAGAUUUCUGAAAGUCCAUGGUGUGAUCUGUAUUACAAACUAUUUUUUUUUUUGAUUUUUCGAGACAGGGUUUCUCUGUGUAGCUUUGGAGCCUAUCCUGGCACUUGCUCUGGAGACCAGGCUGGCCUCGAACUCACAGAGACUUGCCUGCCUCUGCUUCCCAAGUGCUGGGAUUAAAGGCGUGGGCCACCAAUGCCCGGCCUGUAUUACAAACUUAAGGAGAUAAAUGCAUUUGAUUAUCCUCGUUCACCAAUUGUGAGUGCUGAUGGAUUUGGUGACCCUGUAUAUGAAACUUUUGACAGUUUGGGUGGAAAUGAGGAAAAGGAUGCUGCUGGUUGGUUGCCUGUAGCAUCUCUAGAUAAAUUGAUAGAGAAUAGGAAGGAGCUCCAUGAUAAAAUUAAUCAGUGUCUAGCAUCUCAGAAUACAGUGAAGGACCACAAUGAACUUAGUGAUAAAAUCGACUGGCUCCAAAUGUGCCUCAACAGUCUAAAGAAUUCUAAGUUUGUCCUAGAAAAGAAUUUUCUCUCUGGCAACCACAGAGCCCGAGUUAUAGAAAAUCAAACCGAAGCCCUCAUUAUAAGUUUGGCUGAGUUACAGCAAAAUACAAGUCUCAGCCUUAGAGUGCUUUGGCAGUUAAAGUGAGGGCAUUAAUUGGUAAAGAAUGGAAUCCUAGAACUUGGGAUGGGGCUGCCUGGGAGAACCCCUUUGAAACUGAGAACUUUGACCCCUCAGAUUUUCAAGGUUGUCUUGUCUGAGGAAGUAGUACCUCAGCCCCACUGCUUGAGAUAUUGCCCCUCUCACCUUUGAUUAAAUUAAUGUCAUGUCUGGUAAACCAGCAGUGACUUUCUCGGAAGGAAAUGUCAGGCAAGACAAUACUGAUGUCCCUCAGGGCUCACCGAUAGCUGCCUCUAGAGCUAUGGAACCAGACUUAAGCAAAGCGGGCUUCUAGAGGGAGGUAGGAAGUGUAGUCCAUGAGAAGGUGUGCUACCCUGCUAGAAGAGGUCUUAAGGAAUUUGCUAAUUCUUUCCAGCAGAAGUCUGGGGAUUGUGGUGGAAGGAAAAUGAAACUGGGCCAAGAUGAGUUUAUUGAUAUUGACCCUCUGAGUAGAGACCCCAUGUUUAGUAUGGAAGCUCGCACAGUUAGAGAAAGGUUUCAAAAGUCUGUCUGAAUGGUUGGCUGAAGCAUUUGUCAAAAGGAGUUGCAGAUGCCUUAUAUCCCUUGGCUUACUGUUGAUGAAGGAAUUUUAAGGCUCCGGGAAAUUGCAAUGCCAGAGUGACUAUGAUUUUUUUUUCAAGACAGGGUUUCUCUGUGGCUUUGGAGGCUGUCCUGGAACUAGCUGUUGUAGACCAGGCUGGCCUUGAACUCACAGAGAUCCUCCUGCGUCUGCCUCCUGAGUGCUGGGAUUAAAGGCGUGCACCACCACCGCCCGGCAAUGUAUCUAUGAUUUGUAAAACCUAAUUCCACAAUGGGAAGGCCCGGACACAUGCCCUUCACUAAUCCUAUAAGAUGCAAAAUUGUGAGAGGGGUGUUAGCAUAUUUGAAGAGUUUUGUUGCCUCCGUUUUCUUUGUGCCCAACCUUAGGGUUGGAGAUGCUGCUGUUCAGUUAGACAAAUUAAAUGCAAUGGGUUUAAAUGGGCCUGAAGUAGCAGGGACCAGGUGGCAGCACUGGAUCGCCAGAGACAAGGAGAUCAUAGUUAUCAUAAUGGGUAGUAUAGACAAAGCAAUAUUCAUAAUUGCCUAACCCAUAAUGGUCAGCACAGGCAAAGCCAAUUUUAUGGUGGCAUAACUUGUGUGGGCUUUUGGUACUGGUUAGUUAAUGAUGGUGUUUCCAGGCAUGAAAUAGAUAAGAAGCCUACUGAAUUUUUGUUUGGUCUGUAUAAGUGGAAAAAUUCUCAAACAAAUGAAAGAAAAGUUACAUUGGAUCAUAGCAACAGGCAAUCUUGGCCCAUGAAUCAAUUUGCAGACUUGAGCCAGUUUGCAGACCCAGAUCCCUUGAAAGAAGGGAUGACCCGGUUCCCCUGAGGAAAGACCUUGAUAAAACUCCUAAAUGUUUUACUAUCAGCCUUUCUCCAGUCCUUCCCCAAAGGGACCGAUAGCCUUUUACAAGGGUAAUUGCACACUAGGGGCAAGAAAACAAUCAGACUUUCCAAAGUCUGUUGGAUAUUAGUUCUGAAUUUAUGCUGAUUCCAGGAGAUCCCAGGAAACAUUGUGGCCCUCCAGCUAAAGUGUAGGAACAUAAUAAUAUAACUAUAGGAGGUCAGGUGAUUAAUAGAAUUUUGGCUGAACUCUGACUCACAGUAGGUGAAAACUCCUGUUUUUUCCCCCAGUCACAGAAUGUGUAAUUGGGAUAGGUAUAUUUAGAAGUUGGCAGAAUUCUCAUAUUGGUUCCCUGACCUUCGGAGUGAGGGCUAUUAUGGUUGGGUCUUAGUUAGGGUUUUAUUGUUGUAAAGAGACCCCAUGACCAAGGCAACUUUUAUAAAGAAGAGCAUUUAAUUGGGGUGGCUUACAGUUUCAGAGAUUUAGUCCAUCAUCAUCAUGACAGGAAAUGGCAGCGUUCAGGUAGACAUGGUGCUGGAGAAGAAGCUGAAUUUUGCACCUUGAUACGCAGGCAGCAGACUGUCACACUGACUGUGGCUUGAGUAUAUAUGAGAUUUCAAAGUUCACCUCCUCAGUGACAACACUUCUUUCAACAAGGCCACAUAUACUCCAACAAGGUCACACCUCCUAAUAGUGCCACUUCCUAUGGGCUAAGCAUUCACACACAUGAAUAAGUUCUUCGAAUGCCUAUGGCUUCUACUCCUGUUACAGUGCCAAGCAUGCACCUAUAACCUUCUGGGGUGUUCCCUAUGAUCUGUUGACUGAGGAAAAGAGCACUAGGGCCUGGUUUACUGAUAGUUCUGCAUGUUAUGCAGGCACCACUCAGAAGUGGACAGCAUUGUAACCCAUUUCUGGGGCAACCCUGAAAGAUAGGGGUGAAGAGAAAUCAUCACAGUGGACAGAGCUUUGGACAGCAACAUGGUCCUACAUUUCUUUGGGAAGAAAUGGCUUUUGAGGAAGGAAGACACACACCUUUGAUUUGGAUCUCAAGUCAGGAAGACACAUGUCUUUAAUUUGGAUCAUGAGGCAGGAAGACAUGCCUUUAAUCUGAGCCACACCUGCUGAAAGCCUACAUAAGGACAUGGAAGAAGGAAGCUUUUGCUCUUUGCAUGCUCGCCCUCAUUUUGCUAGCAUAUCCAUUGCUUCACUGGCAUUAGAGCCUACUUCUUUGGGAUUCCAGAAUAUACUGAAGACCAGCCGAGACACCCAGCCUUAUAGACUGAACAAUUCCUGGAUUCUUAGACUUUCCAUUCACAUUCAGCCAUUCUUGGAUUUUCUGGUCUGUAGUCUGUUGAUGUCCUGCAGGUUGGGACAACUGGCGCCUAACGUGGGGCUGGAUAGAGUUGGGGAUCUGGGAACGUCAGUGCUCAUUAGAGGGACGGGCCCGUCCAUGCAGUGAGGCGUCCACGACAAGGUCGAUUGUGAGCCUCGGUUGGAGGAAGACCCAGCAGCCUGCCCAGCGCUUGGGAAUUUCAGUUCAUGAGCACCACCUAUGUGGAAAAGAAAGAAAUGUGCCUUGUUGCAGAGCUAUGUAGAUGAGAGCUGCCAAAAUGAUUCUGCAAGAGACAGGAUUUUCCAUUGCUGUGAUGAAAUGCCUGACAAGGACAAACUCAAGGAAGAAGACUUUAUUUUGGCUCAGAGUUUGAGACUGCAGUCCAGGAUGGUGUGGAAGGCAUGGCAACAGGAGCAUGAGGCAGCUGCUCACAUGGCAUCCACAGUCAGGAAGCAGAGAGAGAUGAACACUGGUGCUCAGCUCUCAUUCUCCCCUUUUUGUUCAGCUCAGGACCCCAGCCCACUGAAGGGAGUCAUCCACAGUUAAGGUGGGUCUUCCCAUCCAAAUGAGCCCCACCUAGACAAGCCCCCAGACACGCCCACAAGCCAAUCUGAUUGGGGUGAUCCCUCAGUUGAGAAUCCUUUCUCAGGUGACUCUGAUCUGUGUCAAGUUGGCAGUUAAAGUAAGACUUUUCCCCUUGGUCACCCUAGAUCCUGUCAAUGUGGCAGUCAGUUUUAACCAUUACAAUAAUAUCAUUUUUGUUUCCGUUUGUAUGCAUUCCGGUGCCUGGCGUGUCUCUUCUGUCAUUUGAACUGCUCUGGGGUCUGCCAUUGCAGGACUAUGUCAUCAGUUUAUGACUGUCGGUGCCUUGCAUAGGAUAGCUGUUAGAAAGUUCUCAUAACUGCUGACAGUGCUACCACGUAUCAUCUCAUUGAGGUCUCUCAUGUUCUUGUGUGAGGGAUUGUAGGACAGACACCUGGAGGUGGAUAUUUCUCUUCUACCAACUGCUGUCAAACUUUUCUCCAAGAGGUGAUGCCUGAGUGCCCUGCAGACUGGCAGAGAAGGCAUCUUCCGUAUCACUGUAUCCCCAGUGGCCCUGAGUCUUGUCUGUCUUCAGGUUCAUUGCCAGCUGGGUGGAUGUGCAAUCACAUUUCACUGGCAGUUUGUCUGUGGCUUCCUGACUAUUCAUAAAGUUGACAGUCUUUUAUGUUCAUUGGCCCUCUGGGUUCUCUCCUCUGUGUGAUACAUUUUUAUAGCUUUUGUCUAUGUUUUUUCUCUUGGGUUAUUUAUCUUUUCCUUAUUAAUUUGUAGCAGCUUGUUUUAGUACUUUGUUUUCACGAAUUCACAAUGCACAGGUCACUACACUCAACUGUUUAUGUGGGUGCUGUGGCUCCAAAUGUGGAUCUUCAAGCCUUUGUAGCAGGGACUUUCCUCUUUGAGCCAUCUCUUCAGCCUUAUCAUAGGUUUUAAAGAAUAAAAAUGCCAAGGUUACAUCAUCUCUUCAGAGCAUGUGUACACACAUAUCAGAAUAGUCUUAGUAUUUUAAAUACUAAGUAAACAGUAUUGUAAUUGUAAAUAGUCUUGUAAAAGGUACACUCUACAGUCUGAUUCUAGUUUUUAAUAAUUACUCAAUUUAUUUUAAAAAAUAAUUAACAGGUAAUACUGCUAUACAUUUUUUAAGGAACAAUGUAAUAUUUUUAUGCAGGUAUAUGUUAUGGAAUGAUCAAAUCAUACUAGUCAGCAGACCUAUCUCCUCAAAUAUUAAUAAUUUCAUGUUUUAUUGUCAUAAAUUCAUUGUACGUAUUGUUGGGUUUCAUAAAGACAAUUUCUUUAGAUUAUAUCAUGCAUUUUGAUCAUAUUCAGCCCCAUAAUUUCUCUUGUAUCCUUUCUCCCACCUUACUCCUGUUAGUCAUAUAUCAUAUAUGACUAACAGAUAUAUCAUACAUAUGACAUAUAUGACAUAGAUAGAUAUGUACCUAUUUAAUGUAUCUAUAAAAUUCUAGAUUUUAUAAAUGAGAAAUUAAAGAAUACAGAAUUUGUCUUUC